GUCUCGGGUGGCUUAAAUGAUAGAGCAUUUGGCGCGUAACCAAAAGAUCCAGGUUCGAGGUCCUAGUCUGGGCU
rnacentral:tRNA from 1 species